CACGUAGGCACCAAGCGUUGUCCGGAUUUAUUGGGCGUAAAGAGCUCGUAGGCGGUUGAGUAAGUCGGGUGUGAAAACUCUGGGCUUAACCCAGAGCCGCCACUCGAUACUGCUCUGACUUGAGUUCGGUAGGGGAGCAGGGAAUUCCUAGUGUAGCGGUGAAAUGCGCAGAUAUUAGGAAGAACACCCGUGGCGAAGGCGGCUCUCUGGGACGGUUCUGACGCUGAGGCGCGAAAGCCAGGGGAGCAAACGGG
rnacentral:rRNA from 1 species